rnacentral:lncRNA from 1 species
UACAACAUAUGGUUGAAAGAGUAAAAAUUUAAUUAGUUACUAAUCAAAGCAUCUUUACCCAACUAAAGACUUGCUUUGUCUAAAUGUUUGGUAGAUUUAGCAAAUCAGAGGUGAGCGUAUUCUGCUGGAAAUUUUGUGUAUUGACUACCUAUUCACCUCUUUAUGAAUUCAGGGCUUUAACUUUCAAGGGCCUAGCUCAGUUAAAAAUAUUGGUUGACAGGUUAUUGCCAUGGAAUGUCUACCCACAAAACUAACUCGGCCAGGUCUCCUGUAUGAAAUGCAUUAUAUCCGGUACCUGAUAAACACAACUAUCCAAGUUUAUAUAGCUCAAUCUAGUGUGUAGAAUAUUGGGUACUUGAAUACCUCUCUCGUUUCUUCUUAUUGCAGUAAUGACUCCAUCCUUUACCCAUAGUCGUCAUGGCGUCGCCUAGGCGUCUUGGCACUAGAGAAGAACAAGGCAAUGCCUUGGACGCCGAGCCACCAAGACUUACCCCUUGAUAGCUAGCCCAAGUUAAGUGAUUAAGUCAUUUUGUACUCAUGACUCAUCAUAACCCAUGGACUAGCUAUAUGGUGUAAUUUUUAUUAUUUAUUAGACUUGUAAUAUGUGAUGAUUGUUGACUUGAUCAACCCUUUAUUCUCUACGUAGUGUUUGUUAACUUGUUCUAUUAAUUUUCAAGGUCAAGUGUUUUGUUUUUGAAUUUUAAUUGUGGAAUAUUCAUAUAAUUGUGUUUUUUAUUGUAUUCCAUAGUGUUAGGUAUUAUGUUUUGAGUUCUAAUGUAUAUAAAAUUUUAUUGUCGAAUAUGCUUUUGAAGUAAAACAAAUAAUGUAAAAAUUGUACAUUGUUAACGACUUGUCG